AUAAUUAUGUAUUUGUUUACAUUAUAUGCUAGAAAAAUAUUUACAUAAAACGAAUAUAUAGGAAAAAUACGUUAUCUAAAAUAAUGUAAAUAAUGAACAUUUUUCAAGCAAAACAUGAGCUAAGAGUGAUAUCAGUACUUGAAACGAAGUUUAACCAUAACAUAACAUCACGCCUGAAUCCCUUUAGGGGUAAGCAGAGGUGAAUUAGUGUGUGCAGUUUGUUAAGUGAGAUGAUAGAGAUUAUUACGCCUGCCUGUAUGAGUGAGGGAAUCUGCAAAUCUAUAAGUUAUUUAAUAUCACAAUUUAUUUGGUAUUUCUUAUAGAUCUCAAAGGUAAGGUAAAUGGUACGAUUUUAUUACUUUAAAACAAUAGGACUGUUUUUAAAUUACACUGCGUUGAAUACAAUAUUAUAAUCAACGAACAGCAUUCUUAAGUUAAUUUUUAAAAAUAAAUAUUUAUUUUUUCUUGCGUUUUAUUUCGCUUCAACGACUUAUUUAACCACAUGGGUUUUAAAAUAAGACCAUGAUUGAAGUUUACUAAGAACACGCUAACAAGUCACCUUCCUACUAUAUUUUUUCCUUCAGAACUGUACACUACAGUUGUGUUAUUAAAAGGCAAUUGAAUAGGUAACUACAAGUCUUAAAUACAUUACGAAACAAGUAUUAUGUGUGUAUAAACUAUAUACAUAUCGGAUAAAAAUAUUCGUAUUUAAACAUUUUCAGACGUACAAAAAGGUCAAACUUAAAAGAUUUGAUGGUGCUUACAUUUUUUAAAACCCGAUUUAUUUUAAUAUUGUGAUUGUUUCUAGAGAAUAUUUAUUUUUAGGUCCCGUGAAAUUGCCUUAAGAUUUUUUGUCUUUCAUAUUUUUUUCAUACUACGCUGCGUGACGUCCCUAUACAACUUAUUUUUUUACAAUUCUUGCUAAUCUUUACGUUAAAACUCUAUAGCAUCUAUUGCAAUAACAAUAUUCGUGAUUAUGUAUUGCAAUAAAAGCUUUUAAUACACAAUGUGUUGUUACAUUUGUAACAAUAGGUAAUUUAUGUACAACAGAUAAACGUCACAAGAUUGUAGAGGUAUUAUUGUAUUGUGUAAAAUUUUAUGUAAACAUGGACUCUAUGUAAAUAGAGGUAAGCUUUAUUUUGCUUUGGAUGCCUUAUGUGGUACAAGUGAUGGGAGAGAAGAGGUUUUGAAAUGAAUUACUAUAUUGGAUACGUAAAAUGUUAUACAUUAAUUAGAUCUCAAUUCAAACAAUAUUUUGUAUACAUAUUUUGUCAGAAAAGAGCAAACAAGUUUGCAAAUGUAAAAACGUUUGAACCGAGACUGAUGCUUUGAUAUUAUUUUUCUCAGAAGUAUCUAGAACUAAGGCCAAAGGAUUACUGAGCCUCAAGCCGAUCGUCCACCGCCAACUAAACUUAGUUUUCCUUAGCUCGCAUAUAUAAGCCAGUCUUUAUACACGUGGCAUAGUUUGCGGUGGACGGACAUGUAUGAAAAAUUGGCUCAACUAUGCGAGCUAAGCUAAAUUUAAUUUUAGUUGUUUAGUGGAUGAUGGCUUCAUGCUUGCAAUGCUACCUAUCGACUCCAACUUACAGGAGUCACAGUGACGGGUGAAGGCGGAAUAUUUUCUUAAAGUCUGUUGGCAACUAUACAUUUUUACUAUUCUUUUACGACUCUUACUGUGUGGAGACCUUGUAUAGAUUCGUUGAGGGUAAAAUGAACCUUCAGUCUAUACCUUAGCCCGCAUAUUACAAUGCAGGGAUGCGCGGAGACCUCGCGUUCACAGGUAAUUAACGUAUUGUUAGACGAGGUUGCUGUUAACUCUCGCGUAACUGGUUAAAACUGAAUGCAGAUCGGGUACCACAUCCGUUCAUAGUAUAUAGCACCGUAUAGCACUAUUUUUUUUUAAUUUGACAAUACGUUUGUUAGCCUGGCAAGGGCUGGCUUAUACAAACAUACCAGACUUUUUAGAGAGUGCUUUAGGCGCUCGCAACCCUUGCAUAGAAGGGGGGGGGGGGGGAUUACGUAUAAAAUAGCGGAACCUCGCGUCCCCCGUUAACCCUAUGCGAGACACAAAUAACAUCUGUUGAUUAUUGUAAAGCCUAAUUGGAAACAUUAGAAAAAAGCCCUUGUAUAUAGCAUUGCAAUGUAGACUGGACUGUACUGGACGGAAGAAGCAUGUCAAUUAGUUGUAUAGGUCUUCGGGGAUAGAAGGUAUGAGUAAGUGUGUGUCUUUUCCCUUAUUAUCGUAUGCAACGAAAUAGUUUUUGCGAAUUACCAUUACGAUUUAUUGUCCAAUGUUUUAUUGUUUGCCUAAUACAUUAAUUUUAUUUAUUAUUUGAUAGAUCGAAUGUAUGUGAACAAAAAACAGAAUCGCAUAUAGUAAAAUAUACAUUAAUAUUAAUAACAACGCUUGAAAGGCAGUUAUAUCUAAGCGACAAAUGUGUCGAAAAUGUUAUGUCCGCAUUUGGAAUUACCAGACUUACUACAUUGCUCGGUCAUUCAUUUUGUUUUGUAUGUCUAGGAUAUUUUUAUAUUACUAGACUUGAAGUUUAUAAAGUAAAUAGUUUAAUUGUUAUGAAUUUUCUUAUUAAAAUCAAAAAUUUAAAUAGAUUUACUUAAAGGUUUACUGAUUGUCGCUUAGAUAUGAUAGCCUUUUAGGCUUCCACAUAAUAAAUGCGUUGUUUUGUUUGUUACGGCCUCAAAGCUACACUACUGAACCGACUUUGAGAAAUUAAAAGAUAUUUGUGAUCGUUUCUAGAAUGUUAAGAUGUUGUAUUUUACAGAACCGUCGUAGCCUAUGUGACACAGCAUUAAGUUGUGAAACGAUUUAUAGUGGAUUCUAUUCCUUCCAGAGCUAACUGUACGAGUAUUCUUUUGUUUAUAACUGCUAUAAUCAAGCAAUCUCCAAAGUACUACACAGCAUUCCAUUGAUAUUUAGGAUGUCGUAGAAUAAAUAAUUUCCUUCAAACACGGACAUUACUUGUACGUAUAACACCGCGUAGCCAUCAAAUAUAUGACAUUACAAAAUGAACCUUAUUCUGAUGAUUUACAUAAGAGUUAUAAUUCAUUACAUUUCAGUGUUUGUACAUAUUUGCGCCAUUUGUACAAAGCAAUAUCGCCUUUAUUGACAUUAUUUACAACGUUAAUAUUAGAUUGGCGACAAUACGUGGAGCAUAUAAUGCAAAAGUAUAUGAAGUAAAAGCAAAUAUUGUGCAAAUUGUAUUUACUUGAUGCUAAAGAUAAAAUGUUCUUUAUAACCAUGAGGGAUUAAUAGGCUAAUAAAUAGCUUACGACACAAAUAUAACACAGGUAAUACACAAUUGCCUACAACACGACAUUGCUCUAGACACUAGUUUUCGCUUCGGAAUACGUAAGGUCUAGAUUCGAUUACCGAGACAAUGUGAUUGAAAACGUUAUUCAGUGAGCUCACUUGCCAGUACGCGAAGUCGCGUGCUACUGGUCAUAUCUUACUAAUAUAUAUGAAGAUGUUUGUAUGUUUGUUAGAAGUAAACGCAGAAACUACUGAACGGAUUUAGAUGAAAUUUAACAGACGGAUAGACCAUAUCCUGGGUUAAAAUUUAGACUUUUAUUUCGGUAAUUUACUGGCAACUAUUUGAAUUUAUAUUUAAAUAAAUAGUGCUGGCUUCGUACAGAUGUCGCUGCUAACUAAUUUAACUUAUAUCAAGGUUUUUCACGAGUGCGACGUCGCGAGGAACAUGUAGUCGUUUAUACUGCUCAAGCCUUCCAUUACCGAUCAUAAAUGAGAUGAGUUUACAAGCCAAUAUGUUGUUACUAUGUUCAUUUUAUUAUGGUUUUAACUUCCGACUAUGUAGGUAAUUAUACUGGGAUAUUAUAAAUAGUAAUUACGAACUCUACAUGUAUAUUUAUAAUAUAGUUUACUAUUACAAGUCCAGUCUUAACUUACGAUGAAAAACAUUAUAUAAAAAUUUCAUGUUGGUAAAUAUUAGAAGAUAUUCAUGAUUCCCCCUUUAUUUAUCUUUCGGGAUUAUUGUUUUUUUUUUAUUGAAAUACAUAAUUCAAUUGUUGCAAAGAAAAAACAGGGAAUCAAGGAAUGAGCCAUAAGGUAGAUAAGGAUGAUCAAGCUAAGUCUUGCAUUUGAGUCUAGUUAUAAAAGUCCUCAGAGCUUUUUAUUUAAAAAGCCAUAUACACUCAUUACCCAGGGAGGAAAAACUCAUCACUUUGCCCUACCCGAUUUGCCAACUCGAGACCUCAGAAGUACCGCACACAAAACAACCACGCCACUGAAGCACUAGGCAGUCAAUAAUGAAGUUAUUUCCUUAAGAAAUGCUCAGGCAUUCAGUUGGGAAACCCGGUUGCCUUAAAACCUGACGAGAAGGCUAAUUUCCUAAGCGAAAGUGCACAAUUACGUCAGAUCGGAUAUUUGCAUCAUGAUCCUUGUUUACCUCAGUUAUAUUUAUAAUUAAUUUUACGUAAUUACUGAUUAUACACGCACGCCUUUAUGACGGGGUAGACAGAGACGCAACUGAUACACUCACUUUUUCGUACGCAUUCCGUCCCAUGAAAGUGCGAGCCUAUCGCCAUUUUGGGGACGAAUUCCAGACUAAAACAUAACAACGCCAGCGCUAUAAAUUUAAAAAUCAGAUAAAAUAGUUAUUUCCCAUGGGAGCAAAUUACUGGGAUAUUAAAUAGCCUAUGUGUUAAUCCAGGACACGGUCAAUCCAUGUGACAAAUUCUAUCCAAAUCUCUUCAGCUGUUUUUGAAUUUCCUUUUCACAAACAUCCAAAUAUUUGCAAGAAGAAAUAUUCUGAAAUUAAUUUUGUAUUUAAUAAUUAUAUCGGUUGAAAGGCUAAUUGUAUUAAGCGAAAUAUUUUUUCAAAAAAAUUAACUAGAUUAAAAAAACAUAGAAAAAAGUGCUUAUUUUAAAUAUGUAUGACAUAUCGCAUAUUAUUCGAAUUUGGAUAAAUUAGCAUUAUACAAGCGACAAGAUCGUCUCAUGAUUCGGCAAAGUUAAAAAAUAAUCAGUGAUAAUCCAUCGGAAAAUAGAACAAUAGAGAUGAAUUCUAGAACAAUGAUAAUCUAGCAGAAAGGAACAGAUGUAUUCCAUGUAGUGGGAUAGUAGAGGUGAUAUACUUGCGUAAUAAAUGCCAUGCACAAUGUCAUGGCCGGGAGGACGCACAAAUCAUGGUUUAUUGCAGGAAGAGUAUUAUUAGAAGCGAGUUUAUUCUCAGCAUGCACGCGUACGAGAGGUUACUACCUCUGGGACUUGAACGGAAGCAUAUUUAUUACAAUUAAUAUGGUAAUACUACUACUGGACAUAAUAAGACUUAACAUCUCAUGUCUCAGGAUGGCGAGCGCAGUGGAAUACCAAACAAUACUUUGCAAUUUAAGGUGUUGGAUAGUGUAUCUUCUGUUUAUGGGCGGUCGUAUCGCUUACCAUUAGGCGAAUAGCAAGCUCGUCUCGUCAUUCAAAGGAAUAAAAAAAAUACUGUAGGGUGUAAAACAUGGAUAUCACCCGAAACAUGUACUACAUGAUAAGAAUCUCAACAUAAAGCCUUGUUUCGACAUGUUGUAUUCUUGGGUCACUAAUGUAUACUUUUAAUAAGUCAUGCUAUGAUAGACUACGGAACUUUUGUGUUAAUAAAGAGAUGUGAUGGCUCUUGUUGGUUGGUUUGUCUUUUAAUAUUCAUGAGGUGGACCUCACCAGAGUAACACUGGAGUGUUACUAUGCUGUAUCAGGAUAAAAAACUAUAUGGUAAGUUGAUUGCAGGUCUGAGGUGUCUGAGGAACUGUAUGCAAAGUUAAUGAGAAAAAUAUGAUAAUAAUUAAUGACUAUUAAAAUUUUUUUUUUUUUAUUUAUUUUGUCAUGUUACCAUGAAUAAAACUUGAUCUGUGGAAAGUAGAGCGUACAGAAAUAGAUUUUAAUUCGCUGGUGUGGGCGGUGCAUCCUCCGAGGUCUUGACUCAUGCGAUCACUUUACAUUACUCAUGUAGAUUCCCUAAUGGAUAAGAAUAUUCGAUUGUCACUGGGCCAUAUAUUUUCUUGGCUGUAUCGUAUCUAAAAGACGGCUUCUCUUCAAGUCUUUAUAAUAAUGUUGCUCUUAUUAGGUACAUGAUCUGAUUUGGGAAUGUGAUUCAGAAGUCAUUAAAACCGAUUUUUAACCAUGUCUACGAUAAUUGACCUAGGAACAGAACGUAGUAAUAAAUCAACUAAGAAUUUAUCCUUAAAUAAACUGAGGUUCAACAUAGAAGUAGAAAUGUUGGUUAAGAAAACGGAGGCAACAUUACUAUUUGCGCCAUUCGUAGAAUUCAAACGUUAGAAAGUAAAAUGCUAUGAGAAAUCAUACGGUACUAUAGUGUACUGAUAUGCUCAAUAUAUUGGUUUAGUGGAUGUACGUAGAAAGAACAGAUGGUCUUUAAUUCCAAGGAACUAUUUCCAGUUAUUUUUUACACCCCGCAAUUUGGUCUGACCGACACAAACUGCAUAUUCGGUUCAAUAAUUGGCCGUUCUUGUUCAGAUUUAAAAAUUGCUUUUAUAAGCCUUAAUAAGAAAUCUAAACAAAGUCUUAUUAAAUCUCAAUUGAAUUGGUGUAAGGAUGAUUAUGUUUUGUUCAAAUUCCCACGAGACGAACUCGAUUGUACAUAAAUAGAACCGCUUAAAAGGUAAUGUCUAAGUCAUAAAUGCACCGAAAGUUAGUUAUAUAUUUGAAUUCGUCAGAUUUCUCUGCGUUGUUUGAUCUAGGUUUUAUAGCCCUAGGACAAUUUUAAUAUCAUAACACAUUUUUUUGUAACAUAAAUAGUUUAAUUAUCAUGAAAUUUCUAAUUAAAAUCAUAAUUUUAAAUCGUUGUACUCAGAAGUUAACUGUUUGUCGCUUAGAUAUAAUUGCCUUCCAAACGUUAAGCAACACAACCAAGAAUACACUAUAUUGCACUGGAUUGUACACAACAAAUGACAACUUCUUAAUAUGAUACUUGUUUUGGAAGUAAAUAAUACUCCAGUAAACAAGCCACUGAUAUCCCGCUUUAGCUAUCAGGCGGAUAGCGCAACACAAUGAAUAUUAUCCGGAUUCGUCCGCCGCAACCGACAGGAAACGCAAGUAGGAAGUCUACAAGAUCUGAUGCUAUUAAUCUAGGCUGGCUAAGUGCUGCAAAUUGCACGCUUGAGCGUUCCGCGCGUAUCUAGAAAAACCUUCAUGGAAAUUUGAAUAAAUGCAUGUUUUGUUAUAAGAAUUUUUCGCCUGUUCAACCCGCUAUUUAAGUAAGUAAAAAUAAAGAAAGCUUAUAAAAUUUAUCUAAAAAAUGGCGAAUACUGGAUCUAAACGCAUGAAGUAUUGUACGCGAAUGAUUAUUGUCUAUGAUUGAAUAAAUUGUUUAUUGU